ensembl:lncRNA
ACAUACAUACAUGUUACAUACAUACAGGUUACAUACAUACAGGUUACAUACAUACAGGUUACAUACAUACAUGUUACAUACUUACAGGUUACAUACAUACAGGUUACAUACAGGUUACAUACAUACAGGUCACAUACAUACAGGUCACAUACAUACAGGUUACAUACAUACAGGUUACAUACAGGUUACAUACAUACAGGUUACAUACAUACAGGUUACAUACAGGUUACAUACAUACAGGUUACAUACAGGUUACAUACAUACAGGUUACAUACAGGUUACAUACAUACAGGUUACAUACAUACAGGUUACAUACAGGUUACAUACAUACAUGUUACAUACAUACAGGUUACAUACAUACAGGUUACAUACAGGUUACAUACAGGUUACAUACAUACAGGUUACAUACAUACAGGUUACAUACAUACAGGUUACAUACAGGUUACAUACAUACAGGUUACAUACAUACAGGUUACAUACAUACAGGUUACAUACAUGUUACAUAUAGGUUACAUAAAUACAGGUUACAUACAUACAGGUUACAUACAUACAGGUUACAUACAGGUUACAUACAUACAGGUUACAUACAUACAGGUUACAUACAGGUUACAUACAUGUUACAUACAUACAUGUUACAUACAUACAGGUUACAUACAUACAGGUUACAUACAUACAGGUUACAUACAGGUUACAUACAUACAGGUUACAUACAGGUUACAUACAGGUUACAUACAUACCGGUUACAUACAGGUUACAUACAUACAGGUUACAUACAGGUUACAUACAGGUUACAUACAUGUUACAUACAUACAGGUUACAUACAUACAGGUUACAUACAUACAGGUUACAUACAUACA